CGGGACGGGUGAGUAAUGUCUGGGAAACUGCCUGAUGGAGGGGGGUAACUACUGGAAACGGUAGCUAAUACCGCAUAACGUCGCAAGACCAAAGAGGGGGACCUUCGGGCCUCUUGCCAUCGGAUGUGCCCAGAUGGGAUUAGCUAGUAGGUGGGGUAACGGCUCACCAGGCGACGAUCCCUAGCUGGUCUGAGAGGAUGACCAGCCACACUGGAACUGAGACACGGUCCAG
rnacentral:rRNA from 1 species